AAGGCCGAGAGCUGAUGACGAGUUGUCUUUCAGACGACGAAGUGGUUGAUGCCAUGCUUCCAAGAAAAGCUUCUAAGCUUCAGGUAACCAGGAACCGUACCCCAAACCGACACAGGUGGUUGGGUAGAGAAUACCAAGGCGCUUGAGAGAACUCGGGUGAAGGAACUAGGCAAAAUGGCACCGUAACUUCGGGAGAAGGUGCGCCGGUGAGGGUGAAGGACUUGCUCCGUAAGCUCAUGCCGGUCGAAGAUACCAGGCCGCUGCGACUGUUUAUUAAAAACACAGCACUCUGCAAACACGAAAGUGGACGUAUAGGGUGUGACGCCUGCCCGGUGCCGGAAGGUUAAUUGAUGGGGUUAGCGCAAGCGAAGCUCUUGAUCGAAGCCCCGGUAAACGGCGGCCGUAACUAUAACGGUCCUAAGGUAGCGAAAUUCCUUGUCGGGUAAGUUCCGACCUGCACGAAUGGCGUAACGAUGGCGGCGCUGUCUCCACCCGAGACUCAGUGAAAUUGAAAUCGCUGUGAAGAUGCAGUGUAUCCGCGGCUAGACGGAAAGACCCCGUGAACCUUUACUAUAGCUUUGCACUGGACUUUGAAUUUGCUUGUGUAGGAUAGGUGGGAGGCUUUGAAGCGUGGACGCCAGUCUGCGUGGAGCCAACCUUGAAAUACCACCCUGGCAACUUUGAGGUUCUAACUCAGGUCCGUUAUCCGGAUCGAGGACAGUGUAUGGUGGGUAGUUUGACUGGGGCGGUCUCCUCCUAAAGAGUAACGGAGGAGUACGAAGGUGCGCUCAGACCGGUCGGAAAUCGGUCGUAGAGUAUAAAGGCAAAAGCGCGCUUGACUGCGAGACAGACACGUCGAGCAGGUACGAAAGUAGGUCUUAGUGAUCCGGUGGUUCUGUAUGGAAGGGCCAUCGCUCAACGGAUAAAAGGUACUCCGGGGAUAACAGGCUGAUACCGCCCAAGAGUUCAUAUCGACGGCGGUGUUUGGCACCUCGAUGUCGGCUCAUCACAUCCUGGGGCUGAAGCCGGUCCCAAGGGUAUGGCUGUUCGCCAUUUAAAGUGGUACGCGAGCUGGGUUUAGAACGUCGUGAGACAGUUCGGUCCCUAUCUGCCGUGGACGUUUGAGAUUUGAGAGGGGCUGCUCCUAGUACGAGAGGACCGGAGUGGACGAACCUCUGGUGUUCCGGUUGUCACGCCAGUGGCAUUGCCGGGUAGCUAUGUUCGGGAAAGAUAACCGCUGAAAGCAUCUAAGCGGGAAACUUGCCUCAAGAUGAGAUCUCACUGGAACCUUGAGUUCCCUGAAGGGCCGUCGAAGACUACGACGUUGAUAGGUGGGGUGUGUAAGCGCUGUGAGGCGUUGAGCUAACCCAUACUAAUUGCCCGUGAGGCUUGACCAU
rnacentral:rRNA from 1 species